AAAAAAAAUAAAAGCAAAAAAAAAAAAAAAACUCCUGGAUUUUGAAACCAAAAUGCCGUCACCUCGACUAAUAAUCUUGCCUGUG
rnacentral:sRNA from 1 species